rnacentral:rRNA from 1 species
AUGGUAGCCUUUCGUGAUACUUUGGAAAUCUGUGAGCUAGUUGACUUGGGAUUCAGUGGAUUGCCCUUCACAUACGAUAACAGGCGUGCAGCUGCGAGUAAUGUGAGAGUACGUUUGGAUAGAGCUACAGCUACUAAUUCUUGGAGGAAUCUUUUUCCUUUAUAUUCUGUACAUCAUGUUGCUUCGCCAUGUUCUGAUCAUGUUGCUUUAGUGGUGAAGGGGGAGCCUGAAACUGCUCAUGUGGGUCCAAAAACACGUCGUUAUGAAGUUUUUUGGGAAAGAGAUGGUGCUUUGCCGGAUGUGAUAAAACAAGCAUGGGCUUCUGUGGGGUCGGUUGCUAGUUUAGAGCAACUUCAAUCGGCCUUGACCAAGACAAUGGCUACUCUGGGAGCAUGGAGUAAUAAA